CGGGUGAAUAACACGUGAGUAACCUGCCCCCUACUCUGGGAUAAGCCUGGGAAACUGGGUCUAAUACUGGAUAUGACCAAUCACUGCAUGGUGUGUUGGUGGAAAGAUUUUUUGGUGGGGGAUGGACUCGCGGCCUAUCAGCUUGUUGGUGGGGUAAUGGCCUACCAAGGCGACGACGGGUAGCCGGCCUGAGAGGGCGACCGGCCACACUGGGACUGAGACACGGCCCAGACUCCUACGGGAGGCAGCAGUGGGGAAUAUUGCACAAUGGGCGAAAGCCUGAUGCAGCGACGCCGCGUGAGGGAUGACGGCCUUCGGGUUGUAAACCUCUUUCACCAGGGACGAAGCUAACGUGACGGUACCUGGAGAAGAAGCACCGGCUAACUACGUGCCAGCAGCCGCGGUAAUACGUAGGGUGCGAGCGUUGUCCGGAAUUAUUGGGCGUAAAGAGCUUGUAGGCGGUUUGUCGCGUCUGCUGUGAAAGACCGGGGCUUAACUCCGGUUCUGCAGUGGGUACGGGCAGACUAGAGUAUGGUAGGGGAGACUGGAAUUCCUGGUGUAGCGGUGAAAUGCGCAGAUAUCAGGAGGAACACCGAUGGCGAAGGCAGGUCUCUGGGCCAUUACUGACGCUGAGAAGCGAAAGCAUGGGGAGCGAACAGGAUUAGAUACCCUGGUAGUCCAUGCCGUAAACGUUGGGCGCUAGGUGUGGGGCUCAUUCCACGAGUUCCGUGCCGCAGCUAACGCAUUAAGCGCCCCGCCUGGG
rnacentral:rRNA from 1 species